rnacentral:rRNA from 1 species
ACUCAAAUGAAUUGACGGGGGCCCGCACAAGCGGUGGAGCAUGUGGUUUAAUUCGAUGCUACGCGAAAAACCUUACCUAGGUUUGACAUCCCACGCUAUCCAGGGAAACCUGGAGUUCCCUUCGGGGACGUGGAGACAGGUGCUGCAUGGCUGUCGUCAGCUCGUGUUGUGAGAUGUUGGGUUAAGUCCCGCAACGAGCGCAACCCUCGCCUUUAGUUGCCAGCAUUAAGUUGGGCACUCUAAAGGGACCGCUUGGCUAUAAGCCAGAGGAAGGUGGGGAUGACGUCAAGUCCUCAUGGCCUUUAUACCUAGGGCUACACACGUGCUACAAUGAGAGGUACAGAGCGCUGCUAGCUUGCAAAAGUAUGCUAAUCGCAAAAAACCUCUCUCAGUUCGGAUUGUACUCUGCAACUCGAGUGCAUGAAGCUGGAAUCGCUAGUAAUCGUGGAUCAGCACGCCACGGUGAAUACGUUCCCGGGCCUUGCACACACCGCCCGU